CUGUGGAAUAUGUUGGCACUAUAGGUAUGCUGGUAAUAUAAUAAUCCAGACAUUGAGAUUCAGUGAUUUUUGCCAGUUGCUCCAGCAAUAAUGAAUUAGAAAGAGGGAAACAGGAACAAGGGGUAAACAACGAAUGGAGUAAAGACAGAUGUUGUGAUCGGAGUUUCCAUAUAUAAUGGUCCAGUCCCUGUUCUAAUACAGAGGAACAAUGCAUUUACUAAAGCAUGAAUACAAAUUUACAUCUCGAUGAUAGACAGACAGACAGAGACAUAACAAUAUUAAAAAAAAAAAAUUAACAUCA